CGAUGAUCGGUCCGAUUUUCAGAACCUUACUUAUAACAACUUAAUGGAUGGAUAUUUUUUGCUUAAUGAGGUAAAUAAGGUAAAGUAUAUAUUCCGUACAAUGACCCAAGGGGGAGUGUCUCCUGAUAUUUGGAGUUACAAUAUCAUGAUCCACGGCUUGUGCAAAAGUGAAAUGGUCAAUCAGGCAUUCGAACUCUUCGACAUAAUGUGUUCGAAUAACUUGGUUCCUGACGAGGUAACUUUCAGUAUCCUAAUUGAUGGCUUGGGAAAAUCAAGGAGAAUCGAUGAAGCUUUUGAGCUUCUUCAAAAGAUGCAAGAUGGAGGUCACCCAGCUGAUUUAGUCAUGUAAAAUCCAUCGAUCAAAAUAUUGUAUGUCCAAGUGUGUGGAUUAUAGCCUUUAGUGGAAAGAUGUUCAAAAAUCUCUUUUGCAUCCUUAUUUCUUCCAUUUUUUCACUGGCCAUCUAUAAGAAUGUUGAAAGUGACUACAUCAGCUGGAUGACCUUCAUCUUGCAUCUUUUGAAGAAGCUCAAAAGCAUCAUCGAUUCUCCUUGAUUUUCCCAAGCCAUCAGUUAGCAUACUGAAAGUUACCUCGUCGGGAACCAAGUUCUUAGAACACAUUAUGUCGAAGAGUUCGAAGGCCUGAUUGACCAUUUUACUUUUGCACAAGCCGUGGAUCAUGAUAUUGUAACUCCAAAUAUCAGGAGACACUCCCCCUUCGGGCAUUGUGCAGAAUAGUAGGAUGGAUUCGAGUAAUAAUGCAAGUGGGGGGAAGAAGGUGAAGUUUCAGCACCCUAAAUGCAAGUGUGGAACUUAUGCGAUCAUCCUAGGAUCUGGAACUGUCAAGAACCCAGACAGAAUUUUCCUUGGUUGUUGCUAUGAACAUACAGAAUGACCUCACUGCAACUAUUUCGUGUGGCUGGACGAGUUGAUUUCUUGUCAUGUUGAGAAGAAUGAUGAUGCUAGAAAACAGAUUGGAGCAACUGGCAUAUAGAAGGUUGAUUUGGGAAUUGAAGGAAAAUCAAAGAAAUGGAGUAAUCAGUUCAUAGUCUCUGUUAUGCUAGCCAUGUUAAUUUCAUUAGCAACAGUGAAGUAUCUUGUAGUUUGGGAUAUAGAUAUUGUAUUGCAAUCAUUGAUGUAUGGUUAGGGUUGAUAAAUGGAUUGUUAUGCCCCUAUAAUUGCAUAUUCUAUGUGAAUAGAUUGUGACUUUGUUGCAUUAAUGAUAAUAUAAUUUUGUGCAA